UAAUACGUAGGUGACAAGAGUUGUCCGGAUUAAUUGGGCGUAAAGCGAGCGCAGGCGGGUCCGGUAAGUCUGAUGUGAAAGCCCACGGCUCAACCGUGGAACGGCAUUGGAAACUGGCGGACUUGAAUGUAGCAGAGGAAAGUGGAAUUCCAUGUGUAGCGGUGGAAUGCGUAGAUAUAUGGAGGAACACCAGUGGCGAAAGCGACUUUCUGGGCUAUGAUUGACGCUGAGGCUCGAAAGCGUGGGGAGCGAACCGGAUUAGAUACCCUGGUAGUCCACGCCGUAAACGAUGAGUGCUAAGUGUUGGAGGGUUUCCGCCCUUCAGUGCUGGAGUUAACGCAUUAAGCACUCCGCCUGGGGGAUUACGACCGCAAGGUUGGAAACUCAAAAGAAUUGACGGGGGCCCGCACAAGCGGUGGAGCAUGUGGUUUAAUUCGAAGCAACGCGAAGAACCUUACCAGCUCUUGACAUCUUCUGCCACCUUCAGAGAUGAAGGGUUCCUUCGGGGACAGAAUGACAGGUGGUGCAUGGUUGUCGUCAGCUCGUGUCGUGAGAUGUUGGGUUAAGUCCCGUAACGAGCGCAACCCUUAUUGUUAGUUGCCAGCAUUGAGUUGGGCACUCUAGCAAGACUGCCGGUGAUAAACCGGAGGAAGGCGGGGAUGACGUCAAAUCAUCAUGCCCCUUAUGAGCUGGGCUACACACGUGCUACAAUGGAUGGUACAACGAGUGGCGAGACCGCGAGGUUUAGCUAAUCUCCCAAAGCCAUUCUCAGUUCGGAUUGCAGGCUGCAACUCGCCUGCAUGAAGUCGGAAUCGCUAGUAAUCGCGGAUCUGAAUGCCGCGGUGAUUUCGUUCCCG
rnacentral:rRNA from 1 species